rnacentral:tRNA from 1 species
GACAGUGUGGCACAGUGGUUUGAGUACUGGACUAUGACUCUGGAUACCAGGGUUUGAUUCCUUGCUCAGCCA